UACGUAGGGGGCGAGCGUUGUCCGGAUUUACUGGGCGUAAAGAGCGCGCAGGCGGUCGUUCAAGUCGCGUGUGAAAGCCCCCGGCUCAACUGGGGAGGGUCACGCGAUACUGAUCGACUCGAGGCCGGUAGGGGGAAGUGGAAUUCCCGGUGUAGUGGUGGAAUGCGUAGAUAUCGGGAGGAACACCAGUGGCGAAGGCGGCUUCCUGGACCGGUUCUGACACUGAGGAGCGAAAGCGUGGGGAGCGAUCCGG
rnacentral:rRNA from 1 species